GAUGAACGCUGGCGGUGUGCCUAAUACAUGCAAGUCGAGCGAACAGACGAGGAGCUUACUCCUCUGACGUUAGCGGCGGACGGGUGAGUAACACGUGGAUAACCUACCUAUAAGACUGGGAUAACUUCGGGAAACCGGAGCUAAUACCGGAUAACAUGUUGAACCGCAUGGUUCAACAGUGGAAGACGGUCUUGCUGUCACUUAUAGAUGGAUCCGCGUCGCAUUAGCUAGUUGGUAAGGUAACGGCUUACCAAGGCAACGAUGCGUAGCCGACCUGAGAGGGUGAUCGGCCACACUGGAACUGAGACACGGUCCAGACUCCUACGGGAGGCAGCAGUAGGGAAUCUUCCGCAACGGGCGAAAGCCUGACGGAGCAACGCCGCGUGAGUGAAGAAGGUCUUCGGAUCGUAAAACUCUGUUAUUAGGGAAGAACAAAUGUGUAAGUAACUAUGCACGUCUUGACGGUACCUAAUCAGAAAGCCACGGCUAACUACGUG
rnacentral:rRNA from 1 species